GGUAGACGUAGUUUAAACUAAAACAGUAAAUUGUGGAUUUACAGACAAAGAUACACCCUUUCGCCCACC
rnacentral:tRNA from 1 species